UAGGAUGCAGCAGAAAUAAGGGCAAGCCAGUCAGGAGGCUAGACUUCAAGAUUGUGUGCACAGCUGCUGUCUAACUUGGAAUGUGGCUGUUUCCAUAGCAACAAGCCCACGCUUGCUGGAGUAUGUAACACCCUAGGACUUCAGCCACCAGCAGUUCACCCACAACAGAGAUGAACUCAACCAAAAUGUUGAGGUUCUGAGGUCUGGGCGUACUCUAACCCAUAAAUAAGGGACAUCUUUAAAUUCACAUAGUAUUUUGUUUCUUGGUAUUGUAUAAAAUAAUGGAAAGUUCUGGUAUGUCCUGGGCACUGUGCUUGCUCUGGUGUCAUGAGCAAGAUCUACGCAUGAAUCCUGACUUUCCCAGGGACUUAGAGUAUGUCUGUGGAGAUUUCUGAACUAGCAAUUCCGGGUUCGCUAUUUUUGUGCCGCUGUGAUCAAAUGCCUGGUGAAAACAGAGAAAGAGAAGGAAGGUUUGUUUCGGCUCAUGGCUUCGAAGUUUUGCACCAUUGUUUCGGCUCGUGGUUUCAGGGGAGUUUUGCACCAUCGUUACAGAAAAGGCUUGGCAGUGGGAACGGUGUCUGGGGCUCUUCACAUCUUAUAAGACAGGAAGCAGGACUGAAGCCAGAAGUCGGCAUAAGCUACUGUCUAAGUUAGGGUUUCUAUUACUGCAAUAAAAGACCAUGACCAAAACAGCAAGUUGGGGAGGAAAGGAUUUAUUUGACUUACACUUUCAUUAUCGAAGGAAGUCAGGACAGGAACUCAACCAUUCUGUGGUCUGGGGUCCUGGUCCGAAUCAAAAGGAACAACCAAGCUGAGCAACAACACCUGACUCUCUCUGCUUCCUUACUGAGGAUGUCAUGUGACCAGCUGCAUCACACUCCAGCUUCUAUGAUGUUGCCACCUGGACAGGCUGUACCCUCGAGUGCCCUGUGCUUUAGGUCUUUCAGGACAAAACUACCAACUUCACCAGAGCAGAGAGAGCCCUGCUGUAGACACUCUUCGCUGUCAGAACUCUGACAUAACCUCAGAUCUUCCCAGCACUUCCCCCAGCCGUCAGCUCUGCAGAUGAGAGACUACUCCAAACCAGAGUGAAUCAGGAGCCAAAUUCCAUUUAGGAAAUUGAAGAACCUGGCUCCCCUUGCAACUUGGGACAUGGAGCAAGAAGUGAAACAUGAGAAGGUGAUAGGCAGAGGCCUGUGUUAGCUUUGGAUGACUUGUGACCAAGACACCAGACUGAAACACCUUGAAGAAAAGGGUUUCCUUCGGCUUGCUGCCUCAACGCUUCAGUCUAACACAGUGGAGAAGACGUGGCAGAGUGACUCAGUCCACAAUGUCAGGAGCACACAGCACUGGUUGCUCACAUGGCAGCAGGCCAGGAGACAGAGAGAGUCUGUGCUACACCCACUUCUCCUGGGGUGACGUCUAGUCACCACCCCGGAUGGGCACCAGGGACAGACCAAAGUACUGUUUCAUCCAAGUCCAACCAGAGAAUUUAUGAGUUUAUUGGACUUGCUUACCAUGAUGAGUGAGAGUUUCCAUACAGAAGUGUGAGUGACCCCAAAACAUCACCACAGAGUCCCACCUCAUCAUUGAUGGCCACUGAAUGGAAGUUGCAUCAUAGAAGCCCCCUUUCAAUCACGUUUCCACUUCCUGUAACUGCUAGCAUCUCCCUGCAGCAAGAGGGACUCUCAGGUGAGGAUGUAUAGACCUCCUUUCAUCCACCCCAUAGGGAAUGUCAACAGCUCUAUUACCAUUACAUAGACCUGACUAGCACUGGUAUUUACUAUCAUGGGGAACAUGCCUUCCAAAAGUGAGUCUGUAAGGGGCCAAUUAGACUCAAACCUCAAUAGGACUUAAAACAGACAGUCCAGGGUUUGCGCCUGAGUUUUCUGGUGAGUCAGGGAAUGAGGCAGACACAGUAAUUAUCCUUAUUUCAGUGACUCCCCUGACAAGGAUCUACAUUUCUGUGCCAAGGCACAUAUCAAGAAAGAGACGGUACGUGAAGCUGUGGUUUGGUGACACAUUCCUUUCAUCCAGGCACUUGGGAGGCAGGGACAGGUGGAUCUCUGUCAGUUUGAAGCCAGCCUAGUCUACAGAGUGAGCCCCAGGACAGCCAGGGCUACAUAGAGGGACCUUGACUCAAAAACAAUACCACCCAAAGAACACCGGUGAUGAAAAAUAUGGUACACAAACACUCCAGCUCUAUGCAGGUUUAUCAUGGAUAAUUGCAGAGGGGUAGCCCCCAAACUCAGUCUCUCCAGGCAAAAUAUACUUAAGGGCCAGUGAGAUAGUUCUGCAGGCAACGGCACUUGAGAACAAGCCCAAGGACCCGAGUUUGAGCCCUGGGAGCCACCUAUGGAAAGAGAGAAACAACUCAGCGUUGUCCUCUGACCUCCACUUGAACACAGUUGCAUGUAUUCCCCACAAUCACCCCACACAAACAAAUAAACAAAAACAAAAAUAUGGUUUUUUGAUUCAAGAAAAUAUUUUAAAGAGGUUCCAAUUUUUUAAAGAAGAGAGGAAGGCAGGAAGGAAGAAGGAAGAAAAGAAGGAAGACCUCUCCUAAUCCCUGCAGGAUCUUCUGUAAUACAUCCCUUUGCAUUUUCUUCUGUCCUGAGACAGGGGAGGGGGCUCAGAAGCAGAUCCUGACACAAAGAUCUGGGGGGCAAGGACUGGAGCUAACUCAGUCAGUGUGGUGAUUGCCACAUAGCCAUGAAGACCUGAGCUUGACCAACAGAAUCCACAUAAAAGUUCAGCACUGGGAAGCAUGCUUGCAAUCCCAGUGCUGGGGCGGAGGUGGAAAUAGGAAGAGCCCUUGGGCUCAUUGGCCAGCCAGCCUCAGCCAGUCAGUAAGUCUAGGGUCAGUGAGAGACCCUGACUCAAACAACAAGGUGGAGAGCAAUUGGCAAAGACAUCUGAUGUCAAUAUUUGUCCUCUGCACACUUGCACAACCCACAAGAUGAACAUCUUCAGCCUACACACACAUACACACACACACACACACACACACACACACAUCUGGGGGCAAGUUGUACCAUAGGAGAUGGUCCCAGUAAUCCCCAGUUCAGGAGAGUGACAACGUGAACCUGGAAAUGGAUUCAGUGGGUAAAGUUCAUGAAUGAGUGGCCGUAUCGGGGUUCCCUACAGAAACAGACUGAUUACAGACCUAUAUGAAUACAUAUAUUAUAUAAGGGGAUUUGUUUGGUUGGCUGACCCAACUGAAAACUGGUCAAUGAACAAUGGCUACCCUAGGAUUUAUUGAAUCCAAGAAGCCAGAAACCUCAAAACAAGGUGGCCCAUGUGCAGCUCUACUCCAAGGCUGAAAACCUGGGACUCCCUGGCAAGUCACUCGUGUUGAGUCCACAGUAAAAGGCUAAGAAGUGGGAUCCUGAUGUCCACACUGAUGGUAACAACAGUAAGGGAUUCACUCAAAUGGAGCUGGCAUGUGCCAACUGACUUCCUCUUACUCCACUUUUUAUUCCCUCUGGGUCCCCAGGCUAUUGGAAUGGUGUCAUGGUGUCUCAGUCAGUCCUGUUCCAUGGGUCAAUCAUUUCUGUAAAUGCUCCUGGACACCCUCCCAGAGCUGUACCUUCCGUCCAAGACACCCCUCAAUUCAGUCAAAUUGACUAUGCAGAUGAACUGUCUAGGCCUGAGGAAAUGGUCAAUAGCAUCUGCAGCACAUCUGUCCAGGACCUUCCGGCUUUCAGAGCUUCCAUUGAAAAGUCAGGAGGAAUUAUGAUGGGUCUGCCAUUAUAUGUUACUGGGCCUUUUUCCUUUGCAGCUCUUAAUUUUCGUUUUUUAUUCUAUAUGUUUAGUAUGUUUAGUGUUUUGAAUAUUA